rnacentral:rRNA from 1 species
CCCUUAGAUGUUCUGGGCCGCACGCGUGCUACACUGAGUGGAUCAGCGGGUCAGGUUGCGCGACAGUGUUUCCUAAUCUUUAAAUCCGCUCGUGAUGGGGAUUGACGGUUGCAAUUUUCCGUCAUGAACGAGGAAUACCUUGUAAGCGCGGGUCAUCAUCCCGCGCUGAAUACGUCCCUGCCCUUUGUACACACCGCCCGUCGCUCCUACCGAUUGAGUGGUCCGGUGAGGCUUUGGGAUCUGAGCGGAAAGAGCGUUUCGCUGUUUCUGCCCGGAAAACUCAGUCGAACCUUAUCAUUUAGAGGAAGGAGAAGUCGUAACA